rnacentral:rRNA from 1 species
UACGUAGGGGCCGAGCGUUGUCCGGAGUUACUGGGCGUAAAGCGCGCGCAGGCGGCUCGUCAAGCCUGACGUGAAAGCCCCCGGCUCAACCGGGGAGGGUCGUCGGGGACUGGCGGGCUUGAGGUCGGCAGGGGUUGGUGGAAUUCCCGGUGUAGUGGUGAAAUUCGUAGAUAUUCGGAGGAACACCAGUGGCGAAGGCGGCUCACUGGUCCGGUACUGACGCUGAGGUGCGAAAGCGUGGGGAGCGAACAGG